AACGAACGCUGGCGGCAUGCCUAACACAUGCAAGUCGAACGAGACCUUCGGGUCUAGUGGCGCACGGGUGCGUACCGCGUGGGAACCUGCCCUUAGGUUCGGAAUAACUCCCCGAAAGGGGUGCUAAUACCGGAUAAUGUCUUCGGACCAAAGAUUUAUCGCCUUGGGAUGGGCCCGCGUUGGAUUAGCUAGUUGGUAGGGUAAAAGCCUACCAAGGCGACGAUCCAUAGCUGGUCGGAGAGGAUGAUCAGCCGCACUGGGACUGAGACACGGCCCAGACUGCGACGGGGGGCAGCAGUGGGUAAUAUUGGACGAGGGGCGAUAGCCUGACCCAGCAAUGCCGGGUGAGUGAGGAAGGCCGUAGGGUUGUAAUGCUCUUUUACCCGGGAUGAUAAUGACAGUACCGGGAGAAUAAGCACCGGCUAACUCCGUG
rnacentral:rRNA from 1 species